rnacentral:rRNA from 1 species
GUCUACAGCCACCCUGAACACGCUCAAUCUCAUCUGAUCUCAGAAGCUAAGCAGGGUUGGGCCUGGUUAGUACUUGGAUGGGAGACCACCUAGGAAUACUGGGUGCUAUAGGCU